rnacentral:tRNA from 1 species
GCCAGGGUGGCGGAACGGUAGACGCGGUCGCCUCAAAAGCGAUUUUCUCUCACAAGAAGUGCGGGUUCAAAUCCCGUCCCUGGCG